UACGUAGGGUGCAAGCGUUGUCCGGAAUUAUUGGGCGUAAAGAGCUCGUAGGCGGUUUGUCGCGUCUGCUGUGAAAUCCCGCGGCUCAACUGCGGGUCUGCAGUCGAUACGGGCAGGCUAGAGUUCGGUAGGGGAGACUGGAAUUCCUGGUGUAGCGGUGAAAUGUGCAGAUAUCAGGAGGAACACCGGUGGCGAAGGCGGAUCUCUGGGCCAUUACUGACGCUGAGGAGCGAAAGCGUGGGGAGCGAACAGG
rnacentral:rRNA from 1 species